AACCUUAUGGACCUGCGGGCGUAUACCUGCGGAGGGAUCAUUAACACUCAAUAAAAAAACACACUUCCUAUCCUUGGGGGAGAAAGGAUCCUUGAUUCAAGGAGAAUUUCAAGCCUAGGAUGGGAAUAAACCACUAUAUGUGAAUUCAAUGAAGUCCUUAACAGUACUCCCCAAAAAGGGGUACUGGAUUUCAUAAGCUCCUUUAAAUUCACUUUUUUAAUCAAAUCCCUUUGAAUUUGG
rnacentral:misc_RNA from 1 species